rnacentral:rRNA from 1 species
GGGGGCUAGCGUUAUCCGGAUUUACUGGGCGUAAAGGGUGCGUAGGCGGUCUUUCAAGUCAGGAGUGAAAGGCUACGGCUCAACCGUAGUAAGCUCUUGAAACUGGGAGACUUGAGUGCAGGAGAGGCGAGUGGAAUUCCUAGUGUAGCGGUGAAAUGCGUAGAUAUUAGGAGGAACACCAGUUGCGAAGGCGGCUCUCUGGACUGUAACUGACGCUGAGGC